CCAGUGGCUGCUUAUGGUGUGCCGCGUGCCCCGUGUGUCCCUCGUUGAAACGGGCCGGUGAUCUAACACUGAAGCAGCAGCAAUUAGCACAGAGCAUACAAGGCAUCAGAUUUGAGCAAGACGACUAUAUUACCGAAGAGCAAUACAAGAUACAGUGGUCAGUGGACACUGUGACACUACUGAGCCCAGUGGGGUACCAGCCACAGCACACUUCCGACUUAACCUGACGCGACUCACCGUAGAGUACCAACUGACUACCAGCUACGAUUCUACGAAGCACACAUGACCAUACUACGUACGAUCGCCUACGUGCGCCUGAACUACUACAUUAUUCGGUGCAUGGACACUAGGGUAAACCAACGGCCGACCUAAGCAGAGUCGUCUUGCUUGCUAGGCUACGUACGCACUGGUCGAUUCAUCAUCUAGGACUUAGUCUUGAACUUGGACUCG
rnacentral:lncRNA from 1 species